UACGUAGGGUGCAAGCGUUAAUCGGAAUUACUGGGCGUAACGCGUGCGCAGGCGGUUUUGUAAGUCUGAUGUGAAAUCCCCGGGCUCAACCUGGGAAUUGCGAUGAAGACUGCAAGGCUUGAAUCUGGCAGAGGGGGGUAGAAUUCCACGUGUAGCAGUGAAAUGCGUAGAGAUGUGGAGGAACACCGAUGGCGAAGGCAGCCCCCUGGGUCAAGAUUGACGCUCAUGCACGAAAGCGUGGGGAGCAAACAGG
rnacentral:rRNA from 1 species